UACGAAGGGGGCUAGCGUUGCUCGGAAUCACUGGGCGUAAAGCGCACGUAGGCGGCUUUUUAAGUCAGAGGUGAAAUCCUGGAGCUCAACUCCAGAACUGCCUUUGAUACUGGAGAGCUUGAGUCCGGGAGAGGUGAGUGGAACUGCGAGUGUAGAGGUGAAAUUCGUAGAUAUUCGCAAGAACACCAGUGGCGAAGGCGGCUCACUGACCCGGUACUGACGCUGAGGUGCGAAAGCGUGGGGAGCAAACAGG
rnacentral:rRNA from 1 species